rnacentral:rRNA from 1 species
GCCACUGGAAACGGUGAUUAAUACCGGAUACUCCUUCUUGUUAUAAGACAAGUCGGGAAAGUUUUUCGCUAAGGGAUCAGUCUAUGUUCCAUCAGCUUGUUGGUGAGGUAAUGGCUCACCAAGGCUAUGACGGAUAUCUGGUUUGAGAGGAUGAUCAGACACACUGAAACUGAGACACGGUCCAGACUCCUACGGUAGGCAGCAGUGAGGAAUAUUGCACAAUGGAGGAAACUCUGAUGCAGCAACGCCGCGUGGAGGAUGACGCAUUUCGGUGUGUAAACUCCUUUUAUUAGGGAAGAUAAUGACGGUACCUAAUGAAUAAGCACCGGCUAACUCCGUGCCAGCAGCCGCGGUAAUACGGAGGGUGCAAGCGUUACUCGGAAUCACUGGGCGUAAAGGGUGCGUAGGCUGGCUUUUAAGUCAGAUGUGAAAUCCAAUGGCUCAACCAUUGAACUGCAUUUGAAACUGAAAGCCUAGAGUUCAGAAGGGGCAGAUGGAAUUAGUGGUGUAGGGGUAAAAUCCGUAGAUAUCACUAGGAAUAUCAAAAGCGAAGGCGAUCUGCUGGGAUGAUACUGA